rnacentral:rRNA from 1 species
UACGUAGGGGGCAAGCGUUGUCCGGAAUCAUUGGGCGUAAAGCGCGUGUAGGCGGUUCAGUAAGUCUGCUGUGAAAGUCCAGGGCUCAACCCUGGGAUGCCGGUGGAUACUGCUGAACUAGAGUGCGGAAGAGGCGAGUGGAAUUCCCGGUGUAGCGGUGGAAUGCGCAGAUAUCGGGAGGAACACCAAUUGCGAAGGCAGCUCGCUGGGACGUUACUGACGCUGAGACGCGAAAGCGUGGGGAGCAAACAGG